UAUCUUUGCGCAUGCGUCGGUACUUUCCUGAAGGAAAGAUAAGGGAAUCCUGUGAGAAUCCGGAACUGUCCCCGCAGCUGUAAUGUCUUUAUCGCCUAAAAGCGGAUUUUUUCAAAAACAUCCACUGAAGUCAAUAGCUUUGGGAAGGAGAAAAAAUGACAAGUCAGAAAACCUGCCGAUACGAAAAUGGAGUAU
rnacentral:ncRNA from 22 species